rnacentral:lncRNA from 1 species
CGAGCUCGGACAGCAUUUCAUCAGAUAGACUAGAUUCCCCAACAGAUCGCCAGAGCUUUCUUUUUCCCAAGGACUCCGCGGAAUACACCUGAAAACUUGUUGAUUAUUUAUGUUCUAGCAUGCUUUUUGGGCAGCCACCCAGGACCUCGUAUCCACAGGAAAACUGACACAUCUAAUCAGCCUCCCAGAUACAGUUCUGUAAAGUCUUAUUCGUUUGGAUGCCAUCAGCUCAGAAGGUUUGGAUAAUUCAGACAGUCUGGAGGGACCGUGCCUCUCACACAGCCUACAAAAGACAGAGUUUCUUAACAAAUUGAUAAUGGAAAGCAGACCGCUGGGGCUGAGAAGUGAAUUGUCUUCAAGUUCUCUAGAACAGCGUCCCCGUACCAGCAAUCAAGGAUUAAUUGCAAAUUAUUUUUAUCAAGUAAUUAAAAUGAAUCCCAGGCAAGAAAUCCUACCUCGGGAAUCGUGCGGUGGCAAAAAAUAUGAGCUUUCAAUCCACCCAGGGCGUGGGCUCGGAUUGCAGCCACGCAACUCACGAGCUUAAGUUACUGUCCAUGAGCGACUUUCCUGCUCUGAGCCUUAAAUGCUGACAUAUGGAAAAGUUUGUCGGAUGGACGUUAGAAUUGGAACCCACAGAGGUAAAGAAAUCACUUCCAAAAUGAUGCUUCGGAGGAUUCUCCAUCCACAAGAUGUUAACACUUAUUGCAUGAAAAAGGGGGAUUCGUGGUUGACUAAAUUUGGGAUAAACCAAGCUGAACAAAAUGAAAUGUGUUCGCUUGCUUUUGGGGUGUGUUGAUUUGCAGGGCUUCUCAGAGCCUUUAGCGUUGUACUUCAUGUCAUGAAUCUUCACAAGGAGGGUGUAUUGAGUAGUUCUUCCCCAAAUUUAUUUUAUUUCACCAAUGAUCUCUCUCUCUCUCUCUCUCUCUCUCUCUCUCUCUCUCUCUCUCUCUCUUUAGAACACUCUGACUCCUUCCAGAACUUCCACAGAGGGUAAUUUGCGGAGUGACAUCCUAGAAUUUGUGGUUUGCGCCGUGUCUCAGCAGCAGGAUGGAGCCUACAUGGGGCUAUCUGCACUGUGUCCCUGAAUCCCACUAGAACCAAGGCCACAACCUGGGUGGAGAAGCCACACCGGAGAAACACCAGGAUUGCUCAUAGUCGGUGACUUCUUAGGAACCAUCCUGGGGAAAGUGGCUCCUGGGAACUUCCCAGAGGUACCUGGAACAGCCGACUUAUCUGCAGGCUGGACUCACAUCGAGGUCAAUGAAUCAGGUCCAAAGUUUCCAAAGAUUCAAAGGUGGGGUGAGCAGAGGGCAGCGUGGGAGGACAGCUGGGAGUCCAGGGACCGGCAGGUUGUCGUGGCGUUAAGACAAGUUGCAAAUCAUCACAGGAACGUGGGGGAAAGGUGAGUGUGGUCACAGCUCUGCUCCUGGGGACCCCUGGUCAACGUGGCCGUGGCUACCCGCAAUGGAGGGGCAUCUACAGGAAGUAGAGGUGACCGUGAAGGGUGGAUCCCAAAGUGGUCAAGGUCAGUCCCUAACCCUAAGAACAUAAUGAGCAGGACAGGCUCGGCCCUGGCAAACCUGCUAGAAGCCCAAGGCAGAGGAGCCCAUUGA